CCUUGUACACACCGCCGUCACACCAGUGGGUAGGUCGUUUUUCGCUACCGAGUAAGUGGCUAACUGACCGAACCGGCAAGGGAGGUACGGUCCCCGAAAGGGAGUGAACGGUAACUGGGGUG
rnacentral:rRNA from 1 species